rnacentral:tRNA from 1 species
GCCCUGGUAGCUCAAAUGCUAGAGCGUCGGUCUUGUAAUCCGAAGGUCGGAGGUUAAAACCCUCCCUAGUGCU